rnacentral:rRNA from 1 species
CACGAAAGUUCUUCUGUUUUAAAAAAACACUCAAGGAAAUUGAAUUUGUAGUGAAGAUGCUACAUUAAAAUGGUUAGACGAGAAGUCCCCAUGGAGCUUUACUGAAAGCCUAAAAGAAAUUUUUUAUUUAUUUAUAGGCUAGACAGUUUUGUUGGGGUGAUAGUUUUUUAAAAAGUAACGAAAACGAACUAUGACGCAUGUUUCACUCGGAAAACUUGAAGAGACAUUUGGGGUGUGUUUUAUGAUCUAUUGUUUUGAAUGAAAAAGAUAAUGAAAGCAGAUAAAAGUUACCCUGGGGAA